rnacentral:rRNA from 1 species
UACGUAGGUGGCAAGCGUUGUCCGGAUUUACUGGGCGUAAAGAGCGCGCAGGCGGUCGUUCAAGUCGCGUGUGAAAGCCCCCGGCUCAACUGGGGAGGGUCACUCGAUACUGAUCGACUCGAAGGCAGGAGAGGGAAGCGGAAUUCCCGGUGUAGUGGUGAAAUGCGUAGAUAUCGGGAGGAACACCAGUGGCGAAGGCGGCGAUCUGGGAAGAUACUGACGCUGAGGUGCGAAAGCGUGGGGAGCAAACAGG